rnacentral:rRNA from 1 species
UACGUAGGGUGCGAGCGUUAAUCGGAAUUACUGGGCGUAAAGCGUGCGCAGGCGGUUUUGUAAGCCGGAUGUGAAAUCCCCGGGCUUAACCUGGGAAUGGCAUUUGGGACUGCAAGGCUUGAGUGCGGCAGAGGAGACUGGAAUUCCUGGUGUAGCAGUGAAAUGCGCAGAUAUCAGGAGGAACACCAAUUGCGAAGGCAGCUCGCUGGGACGUUACUGACGCUGAGACGCGAAAGCGUGGGGAGCAAACAGG